CCAACUGCGCCACUUUCGACGUGACCCCGUUCGGCGAGGAGCUCAUGUGUUUCGACGACCAAUAGAUCGUAUUGUUGAAAUGUCAAAGCCAAUUUAGUGGAGCAUCUUUGGUGUGAGGUCUUGUUGCCGUUGGCUGUUGUCGGAUUCGGAACAGUAGGCUGCUUUUGUGUUUCCCUACUUCAUGCAUGCGCACACUCGGUGAUGUUUAAUACUACCGUGAUCAGCAUUAAUUAUUGUGGUGUGAGACUCCAUGGUUAGUUUAGCCUGAGCCUGUUUCCAAAGUUAGCUUGGGCUUUUGUACUUGUAUCUCGCGCAUUGGGUCUCUUUCUUUUUAAUAUAAUAAGCAGUCCUCCUACCUGUUUUGUUUAAAAAAAAUUCUAGCCUCCACGGUUAGUUCUAGCCCGAGCCGGUUUCCAAAGCUAGCUUGGGCUUUUGUCUUGUAUCUCGCUCGCCGGGCCUCUUUCUUUUUAAUAUAAUAAGCAGUCCUCCUGCCGGUUUCAUUUAAAAAAAAAUUCUAGCCUCCAUGGUUAGUUCUAGCCCGAGCCGGUUUCCAAAGCUAGCUUGAGCUUUUGUACUUGUAUCUCGCCCUCCGGGCCUCUUUCUUUUAAUAUAAUAAGCAGUCCUGCUAGUUUCGUU